rnacentral:rRNA from 1 species
UACGUAGGCAGCAAGCGUUGUUCGGAGUUACUGGGCGUAAAGGGUGUGUAGGCGGUUCUUUAAGUUUGGUGUGAAAUCUCCCGGCUCAACCGGGAGGUGCGCCGAAUACUGAGGAGCUAGAGUGCGGGAGAGGAAGUGGAAUUCCUGGUGUAGCGGUGAAAUGCGUAGAUAUCAGGAGGAACACCGGUGGUGUAACGCUUCUGGACCGUAACUGACGCUGGAGACACGAAAGCGUGGGUAGCAAACAGG